AGAGGUUGCAAGAUCGAAGCCAUAGCAGAUGCGCACACAGCACAGCCCUGUCAGAUUGUAAUGAAUCUGCGAACUCUGCA
rnacentral:ribozyme from 1 species